UACGAAGGGGGCUAGCGUUGUUCGGAAUCACUGGGCUUAAAGGGCGCGUAGGCGGGUGCUCAAGUCUGUGGUGAAAUCCUCCGGCUCAACCGGAGAACUGCCAUGGAUACUGGGUGUCUCGAGGGUGGUAGGGGUAUGCGGAACUAUCGGUGGAGCGGUGAAAUGCGUUGAUAUCGAUAGGAACUCCGGUGGCGAAGGCGGCAUACUGGACCACUUCUGACGCUGAGGCGCGAAAGCCAGGGGAGCAAACGGG
rnacentral:rRNA from 1 species